rnacentral:misc_RNA from 1 species
UACGGAGGGUGCAAGCGUUAAUCGGAAUUACUGGGCGUAAAACGCGCGUAGGCGACUCGGUCAGUUGGGUGUGAAAGCCCCGGGCUCAACCUGGGAACUGUGUCCAAUACUGCCAGGCUAGAGUACGAUAGAGGGGGGUAGAAUUCCUAGUGUAGCGGUGAAAUGCGUAGAUAUUAGGAGGAAUACCAGUGGCGAAGGCGGCCCCCUGGAUCGAUACUGACGCUGAGGUGCGAAAGCGUGGGGAGCAAACAGG